rnacentral:rRNA from 1 species
UACGAAGGGGGCUAGCGUUGCUCGGAAUGACUGGGCGUAAAGGGCGCGUAGGCGGUUUGAUCAGUUAGGUGUGAAAUUCCUGGGCUUAACCUGGGGGCUGCACUUAAUACGGUCAGGCUUGAGUGUGAAAGAGGGUCGUGGAAUCCCCAGUGUGGAGGUGAAAUUCGUAGAUAUUGGGAAGAACACCGGUGGCGAAGGCGGCGACCUGGUUCAUUACUGACGCUGAGGCGCGAAAGCGUGGGGAGCAAACAGG